UACGGGGGGGGCAAGCGUUGUUCGGAAUUACUGGGCGUAAAGGGCUCGUAGGCGGCCAACUAAGUCAGACGUGAAAUCCCUCGGCUUAACCGGGGAACUGCGUCUAAUACUGGAUGGCUUGAGUGUGGGAGAGGGAUGCGGAAUUCCAGGUGUAGCGGUGAAAUGCGUAGAUAUCUGGAGGAACACCGGUGGCGAAGGCGGCAUCCUGGACCACGACUGACGCUGAGUGAGCGAAAGCCAGGGGAGCAAACGGG
rnacentral:rRNA from 1 species